CCUACGUGAGGCUGCAGUGAGGAAUAUUGGUCAAUGGGCGCGAGCCUGAACCAGCCAAGUAGCGUGAAGGAUGACUGCCCUACGGGUUGUAAACUUCUUUUAUAAAGGAAUAAAGUGAGGCACGUGUGCCUUUUUGUAUGUACUUUAUGAAUAAGGAUCGGCUAACUCCGUGCCAGCAGCCGCGGUAAUACGGAGGAUCCGAGCGUUAUCCGGAUUUAUUGGGUUGAAAGGGAGCGUAGAUGGGUUGUUAAGUCAGUUGUGAAAGUUUGCGGCUCAACCGUAAAAUUGCAAUUGAUACUGGCAGUCUUGAGUACAGUUGAGGUAGGCGGAAUUCGUGGUGUAGCGGUGAAAUGCUUAGAUAUCACGAAGAACUCCGAUUGCGAAGGCAGCUUACUAAACUGCCACUGACAUUGAUGCUCGAAAGUGUGGGUAUCAAACAGGAGUAGAUACCCUAGUAGUC
rnacentral:rRNA from 1 species